GGAUAGAGCAUCGGAUUUCGAUUCCGAGGGUCGGAGGUUCGAAUCCUUCCGAGCGCGCCA
rnacentral:tRNA from 1 species